rnacentral:misc_RNA from 1 species
AACCUAGCACACCUGCGGUGUGUACCUGCGGAAGGAUCAUUAUCGUUGGGCUCCUGCCCAUUCGAGAUAACACCCUUGCCUUUUUGAGUACCUUUUCGUUUCCUCGGCAGGCACGCCUGCCAACGGGGACCCUUCAAAACGCUUUGUAAUACCUGUCAUUGUCUGAUAUAACAAGCAAAAAUCAAAACUUUCAACAACGGAUCU